AUGAACGCUGGCGGCGUGCCUAAUACAUGCCCGUCGAGCGCACGGACGAGAAGCUUGCUUCUCUGAUGUUAGCGGCGGACGGGUGAGUAACACGUGGAUAACCUACCUAUAAGACUGGGAUAACUUCGGGAAGCCGGAGCUAAUACCGGAUAAUAUUUUGAACCGCAUGGUUCAAAAGUGAAAGACGGUCUUGCUGUCACUUAUAGAUGGAUCCGCGCUGCAUUAGCUAGUUGGUAAGGUAACGGCUUACCAAGGCAACGAUGCAUAGCCGACCUGAGAGGGUGAUCGGCCACACUGGAACUGAGACACGGUCCAGACUCCUACGGGAGGCAGCAGUAGGGAAUCUUCCGCAAUGGGCGAAAGCCUGACGGAGCAACGCCGCGUGAGUGAUGAAGGUCUUCGGAUCGUAAAACUCUGUUAUUAGGGAAGAACAUAUGUGUAAGUAACUGUGCACAUCUUGACGGUACCUAAUCAGAAAGCCACGGCUAACUACGUG
rnacentral:rRNA from 1 species